rnacentral:rRNA from 1 species
UUUCCUACGGGGCGCAGCAGUAGGGAAUCUUCCACAAUGGACGAAAGUCUGAUGGAGCAACGCCGCGUGAGUGAAGAAGGGUUUCGGCUCGUAAAGCUCUGUUGGUAGUGAAGAAAGAUAGAGGUAGUAACUGGCCUUUAUUUGACGGUAAUUACUUAGAAAGUCACGGCUAACUACGUGCCAGCAGCCGCGGUAAUACGUAAGUGGCAAGCGUUGUCCGGAUUUACUGGGUGUAAAGGGCGGGUAGCCGGGUUGACAAGUCAGAUGGGAAAUCCUGCGGCUUAACCGCAGAACUGCAUUUGAAA